rnacentral:tmRNA from 1 species
GGGGGCGAUUGGCUUCGACUUUGGUGUGGAAGCUUUCGCUGCAGGCCGAGGUUGCCGGUUGGCCUCGUAAAACGACCGGCAAAAAAAUAAAAGCCAACGAUACACUGGCUCUCGCGGCCUAACGUCCGCGAGCGGGCCCAUGCUGACACCUGCUAGGUGAGGUGCCCGACGCAGCAGGUUAGUGAGGGCGGGAGUGACCGCCUAACCCUCGCGAAAUUCAUCGUGGUCGCUAUCACGGAUCGUAGCCGCCGUUCGCGUUCGAUCCGCUGAAACUCUUGAACGGAUACGCCUGUAGACGCGUCAGUUGAAACGCCAAAGGACCAGGGUUCGAUCCCCUGCGCCUCCACCA